rfam:Triticum aestivum genome assembly, contig: Triticum_aestivum_CS42_TGACv1_scaffold_224511_3B
UUAUUACUCCCUCCGUCCCAAAAUUCUUGUCUUAAAUUUGUCUAAAUACGGAUGUAUCUAGUUACGUUUUAAUUCUAGAUACAUCCGUAUCUAGACAAAUCUAAGACAAGAAUUUUGGGACUGAGGGAGUACUUU